rnacentral:rRNA from 1 species
GAUGAACGCUGGCGGCGUGCCUAAUACAUGCAAGUCGAGCGAACGGACGAGAAGCUUGCUUCUCUGAUGUUAGCGGCGGACGGGUGAGUAACACGUGGAUAACCUACCUAUAAGACUGGGAUAACUUCGGGAAACCGGAGCUAAUACCGGAUAAUAUUUUGAACCGCAUGGUUCAAAAGUGAAAGACGGUCUUGCUGUCACUUAUAGAUGGAUCCGCGCUGCAUUAGCUAGUUGGUAAGGUAACGGCUUACCAAGGCAACGAUGCAUAGCCGACCUGAGAGGGUGAUCGGCCACACUGGAACUGAGACACGGUCCAGACUCCUACGGGAGGCAGCAGUAGGGAAUCUUCCGCAAUGGGCGAAAGCCUGACGGAGCAACGCCGCGUGAGUGAUGAAGGUCUUCGGAUCGUAAAACUCUGUUAUUAGGGAAGAACAUAUGUGUAAGUAACUGUGCACAUCUUGACGGUACCUAAUCAGAAAGCCACGGCUAACUACGUGCCAGCAGCCGCGGUAAUACGUAGGUGGCAAGCGUUAUCCGGAAUUAUUGGGCGUAAAGCGCGCGUAGGCGGUUUUUUAAGUCUGAUGUGAAAGCCCACGGCUCAACCGUGGAGGGUCAUUGGAAACUGGAAAACUUGAGUGCAGAAGAGGAAAGUGGAAUUCCAUGUGUAGCGGUGAAAUGCGCAGAGAUAUGGAGGAACACCAGUGGCGAAGGCGACUUUCUGGUCUGUAACUGACGCUGAUGUGCGAAAGCGUGGGGAUCAAACAGGAUUAGAUACCCUGGUAGUCCACGCCGUAAACGAUGAGUGCUAAGUGUUAGGGGGUUUCCGCCCCUUAGUGCUGCAGCUAACGCAUUAAGCACCCCGCCUGGGGAGUACGACCGCAAGGUUGAAACUCAAAGGAAUUGACGGGGACCCGCACAAGCGGUGGAGCAUGUGGUUUAAUUCGAAGCAACGCGAAGAACCUUACCAAAUCUUGACAUCCUUUGACAACUCUAGAGAUAGAGCUUUCCCCUUCGGGGGACAAAGUGACAGGUGGUGCAUGGUUGUCGUCAGCUCGUGUCGUGAGAUGUUGGGUUAAGUCCCGCAACGAGCGCAACCCUUAAGCUUAGUUGCCAUCAUUAAGUUGGGCACUCUAAGUUGACUGCCGGUGACAAACCGGAGGAAGGUGGGGAUGACGUCAAAUCAUCAUGCCCCUUAUGAUUUGGGCUACACACGUGCUACAAUGGACAAUACAAAGGGCAGCGAAACCGUGAGGUCAAGCAAAUCCCAUAAAGUUGUUCUCAGUUCGGAUUGUAGUCUGCAACUCGACUACAUGAAGCUGGAAUCGCUAGUAAUCGUAGAUCAGCAUGCUACGGUGAAUACGUUCCCGGGUCU